UACGUAGGGGGCAAGCGUUGUCCGGAUUUAUUGGGCGUAAAGAGCGUGUAGGCGGCCAUACAGGUCAGCUGUGAAAACUCGAGGCUCAACCUCGAGACGUCGGUUGAAACCGUAUGGCUAGAGUCCGGAAGAGGAGAGUGGAAUUCCCGGUGUAGCGGUGAAAUGCGCAGAUAUCGGGAAGAACACCAGUGGCGAAGGCGGCGAUCUGGGAAGAUACUGACGCUGAGGUGCGAAAGCGUGGGGAGCAAACAGG
rnacentral:rRNA from 1 species